AUUGAACGCUGGCGGGAGGCUUAACACAUGCAAGUCGAACGAGUGGCGGACGGGUGAGUAAUGCUUGGGAAUCUGGCUCAUGGAGGGGGAUAACUACGGGGAACUGUAGCUAAUACCGCGUACAAUAGGAUGAGCCCAAGUGGGAUUAGGUAGUUGGUGGGGUAAAGGCUCACCAAGGCGACGAUCCUUAGCUGGUGUGAGAGGAUGACCAGCCAAGCUGGGACUGAGACACGGCCCAGACUCCGACGAGAGGCAUCAGGGGGGAAUAUUGCGCAAUGGGGGCAACCUGACGCAGCCAUGCCGCGUGAAUGAAGAAGGCCUUCGGGUUGUAAAGUUCUUUCGGUAGCGAGGCGUUAACGACAGAAGAAGCACCGGCUAACUCCGUGCCAGCAGCCGCGGUAAUUC
rnacentral:rRNA from 1 species